rnacentral:rRNA from 1 species
AUUGAACGCUGGCGGCAGGCCUAACACAUGCAAGUCGAACGGGUAGCGGAGGGGUGAGUAAUGUCUGGGAAACUGCCUGACGGAGGGAGCUGACUACUGGAAACGGUGGCUAAUACCGCUUACCAUGCUCUGUGGCCAGAGGGGAUUAGCGUGGUGGUGGGGUAACGGCUCACCAAGGCGACGAUCCCUAGCUGGUCUGAGAGGAUGACCAGCCACACUGGAACUGAGACACGGUCCAGACUCCUACGGGAGGCAGCAGUGGGGAAUAUUGCACAAUGGGCGAAAGCCUGAUGCAGCCAUGCCGCGUGAAUGAAGAAGGCCUUCGGGUUGUAAAGUACUUUCAGCGGGGAGGCGGUACCCGCAGAAGAAGCACCGGCUAACUCCGUGCCAGCAGCCGCGGUAAUUC